UCUACUUAACCUCGACGUGCCUGCCCUGCCUGUCUAGGGUUCCUCUUCCUCCCCUCCUAGCGCUGCCACCUCCAUUCCCCAUCUCUCUCCCUCUCUCCUCUGCAAGGUAAGCUGGUGAGAUUCACAAAUAACAGAGGAUUCAGAGCAUCCCAUCGCUGAUCUCCGUCCCUCCCCUCAUCGCCUCCCCGUCUCCGUCGAGCCCAAGGCGCCCGCGAGGAUGGGGGACCUCCCCCCAUUCCAUUCCUGGCGCUAGCGGGGCCGGGCCUCUUCCCUGGUGUCCCCUCCAUGUUGGCGUCUACGGAGCAGCUGCCGUGGACAGAACCUACUUCCCCUUCUUCCCCUUCUACCCCUUUGGUCAAGCAGAGCGGCCCCGAGGCUCCAGGGUGAGCAGCUCGUCCUUCCUCCGCCUUCUCCCCCUCACACGUGGCUUCCCAUGCUCCUAGCGCCGCCGUCCUAUCGCCGUUGCCUCCGAGUAGCCGUGCGUCGUGGAGCCGCCCUGGUGGUCUUCUUCCCGCCGGGUUAGGCACGGGAAUGAGACCCUGGUGGUCUCCUCUUCCCCCCCGCGGGCAGCCGUAGCUUGAUUUGGCGCGCAGCUCCGUUGAUUGCCGUCCCCUGUUCCGGCCGGCACCGAUCUGGUACAGGAACAGAGGGGGGUUACCCCAAGAGGGCUACCUCCUCUUAUAUGUCAAGUAUCGAUUCGUAGCAGGGUGGUGAUCAGGCGGGUUUUGGCGCUGUAGGUUGUGGGUUCGAUACCCCGAGCGCCCCUUUUGUUUUUCUGUUGAUUUAGUAGCAGUAGCCUUCAAGGGAAGGUUACCCCGCAAGCCUCCCUAAUCUAUCGAGCCCAAGGGCAGUGGCGUAGUGGCACUGCGAGGUGGUCUUAGCAGCAGUAACAGGGGAUCUGGGGUUCGAGCCGAGGAACCCCCUUCCCUUGUAUUUUUUUGUUGUUUCCCUUGCUGCCUAGUUCCUUUGUUGCCUAGUAAAACUUGUGCAUGUGGUGUAUUUCCUUUCCUUUUUGUGUUGUUUUCUCCUGCCUAAGUGUGUGUAUGUGAGAGCAGGAGGUAUGUAUGUGUAGGUGAUUGUGUUGUGGUGUAUGUAUGUGUAGGUGGUAGUAGAGGGUAUUGUGUAGGUGAUGAUGAAGUGGAGUGUGUGUGUGUGUGGAUGGUUUCCCCCCUCACCACAUAUUUUGGUGUGUGUGUGUUGCACUAUUGGUAAAUGCCAUGUUUAGCAUGUGUAGGUGGUGUUGUAUGCAUGCUUGUGUAGAUUCAUGUGUGGGGAUGCACCUUGUGGGUGUCAUGGCACUAAGGUGGUGACGCCUUGUAGUGCUUAUGUGAGUGUUGUGUCCUCUAUAUCAUGUGUAGUUGUUUCCUUUAUCAUGUGCUUGUUGCUUGUGAUGGAGUGGUGAUGUGCCACGUCACAUAGGCAUGAGGUCCACCCCUCAUGUGCACCAAUGAUACUGUGGUCAUGAGUAUAUGCUUAUGUAGGUUUUAUUCUAGUGAAUAGCACAUGUGAUGAUGCACUAUUCACUAGAUAUGAUUCUUUGUAGAUUUUCGUCCCUAGUUUGUGAUCAUUUGUUCCAAGCAAGUGCAUAGGUAUUAUAUAUUCUUUAGGGGUAGAAUAAUCCCAGGAAUCCAUUGGUGAAGUCAUUUUUGCCUUUGGAACAUUUUCUGGAGAUGACAUAUUUUAGAUUUGUUCCAUGUUUAGAGCUUGGUUCCAUGUGAUGUGGUGAGCCCAAGGGUUUGUUUCUUCGUUGUGGUAGUAGAGGGUGACCCUCUCUACCACAUGUUGGUUUCAUUUCAUGUAUAGGAAUCCAUAUGUGCAAGUUGUGCCCAAUCAAAGUAGGCAUGUGGCUGAAAUUCCAGAUUAGUGAAAAUCUGAGAUUUUCAGUAAGUCUACGAAUCUGUUUAUAUUUUCUUGUCCCGUUGAUGAGGUUGUGCAGAUCAAUGUGUUGUGAUUUAGCCUUAGCUUUCAACUGGAAAGUUGAAGCUGAUAUGUUUUUCUAGAUCCCUGUAAAUUUUCAUUCCAUUUGGAGUCCUGUAGAUAUUGUUUUGACUGUUGUCAAAAUUCUUAAGAGCAUAGACAGAAAGUGAGAAUCUGGAAUUUUCACUAAGUCCCUGAAAUCUGAUAUUUUUGCAGCCUUGUAACUUUCUGUGUUUAACUCCUUUGUGUGAGAUUCUUGCUUUUUCUUGUAGUACUCUUGGAUAUAUACAACCACAUAUCUUAUUUGGCAUGUUUAGGUGGCUGUAGGUGCUUUGCAUGUAGCUCACAAAGUGCUAUGAUGCAGUUUAUGGCAGAUUGUGUAGUUUUGGCAUUUUGAUGAUUAUGAGUGCUUAGUUGAUGAUGUGGUGUUCUUAUUUUCUCCACCCCAUCCAUGUUGUAUUGUUUUAUGUCUUGGCUACCUGGAUAUACCAGAGUUGAGCCAUUGGAGUGUGUUGUGGUGAAUUUGCACGUAGGGCUUCAUAUCUUGUUUUGUUGAUUCCCGUUGAUCCGUAGCUCCGAUUGUAAUGUUCUUUAUAUGGUUUUGCAUCGUUUUCUCGAGACGCAUCUGAUAAUGUCAUUCUCAUGCAUGUCAAUAUAUCUUAGAAUGCAUUUCUGUCCAGGAACAUGUAUUUACUUCUCAUGCUUGUGCUAGUGAUGGAAAUAGUGAUGCAUGCUCAUAUUCAUCUCAUGCAUCAUGUGCUUGUUGCAUCUUGAGGUGCUGUUGUUCUUUGGAUGUUAUUCUUAUGUUGGGUAGCACCGGGAUCGGAGAACGAGUACGUGGAUUCGGGAGAGUACAUGCAUGACGAUCAAGAACUGUUCCAAGCUGAGGAUAUCAUAGGCAAGAUGCUAUGACCUUGAUUCCAUCUCUAGACUUGUUAUGCUAGUUUACGUUUCUUCCAUCAUAUGCUUGCUUCCUACCACUGUAAUAAUUGCCUCCUGAUAUGCCAUGAAACCCAAACACAUAUUCCUUCCUAGCAAAUCUUGAAUGGCUAAGUAGGCUUGAUCAACUACUAAUGUUAGCGUUGCUAGUUGCAUGUGCUUGUCUCAUGUGAUAACAUGAGUUUGAUAUCAUUAUGUUAAAUCUAAUAUUUAAUUAAUGCACCUAUAUACUUGGUAAAUAACGGAAGGCCUAGCCUUUUUCCGGGAGUUUUGUUCCGUUAUUGCCGCGCUAGUUACCAGCUACCGGUCUUUGAUUCCAUAUUGAUCGCUCCUAACACGUUCGGGGUUGUUAUGGGGACCCCCUUGAUAAGUCGCGUAGUGUUAAGACUUGUCUGGUAUGACCUAACAUUGGUUUUAAUCUGCUAUCACUUAAGAAUAAUCUCCAUAGAGAAUAGCUACCCCGAGGAAUUUAAUCAACAACCCGGGCCAGUGCUCCUCAUGAGUGUUGGUCCCACCUGAGCGAUGUCCGGGACCCCACUGGUCACCGAGAGGUUUAGCCAUCCCGACGUCUAGCUCAUCCGUCGUGUCCUGAGACUGAGAUACGCAGCUCUUAUCAGGGUCGUCGACACGACGGGAGGUCCUGCUAGUCUUGUCUUACCUUAGCGAUAUAUCUUGCGUAUAGGAAUCCCGGUGAAGCUUUGGUUCUCCCAGAGUUGAGGUUUUCCUCUAAGGAAUUCGACGAGAUCACGAGAUUCAUGAUAGAGGAUUACUUUGUGGCCCGUGUACGUUUGUGAUGGACUAGUUGGAGCACCCCUGCAAGGUUUAAUCUUUCGGAAAGCCGUGCCCGCGGUUAUGUGGCAACUUGGAAUAUUUUGUUAACAUCCGGUAAUAGAUAACUUAAAAAUAAGCUAAUAAAAUUGCCAACUGUGUGCGUAACAGCGACUGUCCCCUUUGAAGAUCUCUCUUCGAUCGAGAACAUGGUGGGGUUAUGAUUGACGUAGGUAGGUGUACAGGAUCACUUAGUGAUCAUCUAUCAUCGAACAGUAGUAUAGACCACCUUCAUAUAUGUUCUACGUAAGUUAGCCACCAUGUCAAGCUUAGGAUGCUGCAACCUAAAUACUCCACCUAUCCAACCUAAUAACUUGACUAGUUCUAGCACCGAGGUCAUAGAUUGUUGUGUCCUAAUGGCUCACAGAUUCCUUCACAACACCAACAGGUUCAGGUACCCCCGAGACAGGUGAUCCCGAUGGCAGGCAGCUGGCUUGGCAGUACGAUGAGGAGAACGACCGCCUAUACGUGAACUAUCGAGAAGAUUGAGGCGUGGUCGUGAUCAUGGGCCAACAUGCAAGGUAGCAUAGUCAUUUCCCAUGUUUUGUAGUCCAUAGCGGAACUACCUUGAUUGUAUGCGUGAUGUACUCUGAUAUAUUUAUGAGAUGACAAUUGAAUCCCUU
rnacentral:lncRNA from 1 species